AUCUCGAAAACAGAUUACAAAACAGAAGCCCUUUAUAGGGCAGAACUGUGUCUAGGAAGAGGAACAUCCUUUUGAUUUUGUCUUCAAAACGGGUUCCAGCAGGGGCAUGGACAAGCUGUGCGUGCCAGGCUGCAAUACACUGAAAGCUAUCCAAUUCAAGACUGAACCUGACCUUGGAAAACUGGAACAGCGCAAAGUCGAAGUCUAGAUAACGGGGAACUACUGCUUACUCUUCAUGCUCCUGUCCAGGAAGGAGGCUCUGGGAGGGACAAGCCUUCCCACUGCUGCUCCUGACACAUGGAAGCCACCACUCAGGUUUUCUUGGGUGAGGAGAG